rnacentral:rRNA from 1 species
UACGUAGGGGGCAAGCGUUGUCCGGAUUUAUUGGGCGUAAAGAGCGUGUAGGCGGCCAGACAGGUCCGUUGUGAAAACUCGAGGCUCAACCUCGAGACGCCGAUGGAAACCGUUUGGCUAGAGUCCGGAAGAGGAGAGUGGAAUUCCUGGUGUAGCGGUGAAAUGCGCAGAUAUCAGGAAGAACACCCGUGGCUAAGGCGGCUCUCUAGUACGGUACUGACGCUGAGGCACGAAAGCGUGGGGAGCAAACAGG